rnacentral:sRNA from 1 species
GGGGGCGCCCGGGCGGAACGGUCCUGGAAAUCUGUGCGGGGAUCCAGCCCGCCACCCCUCCCACACUCUGCAGCUCUGGCUACAGGGAAGAGGCCCUGAGGCUUCCUGAAGAUUCCCGGGAGCAGAAACGUGGGUGUCCCAGAGCAGCAGAAUCACCAGAAAUUCACUUGAUUUUCCAGUGUGGACACUGAGACUACAAGGCACCAUGACGGCGGUGAAGACCCAGCACUCCUUGGCAGGCCAGGUUUAUGCGGUGCCCCUCAUCCAGCCAGACCUGCGUCGAGAGGAGGCAAUCCAGCAAGUGGCAGACGCCCUGCAGUACUUACAGAACAUCUCCGGAGACAUCUUCAGCAGGUGGGACCCAGUGCAGGAGCACCCCUUUUCUGAGGGCCAUUCUCCGCAGCCCUGUGUACCUUCUGCAAACAAGCUCUUUAGUGACCCAACCAGUUCUCAGGGCUAUAAGUGCCUGAGAGCUCACCACCUCCUCACUGUAGUGUAGCCCUUUAGGAUUCCCGUGGGCCUGUGGUGGAAGAUCCACCACCAGAUCUCGUCCUUCACUGACUCAGGGCCGGGGGCACAGGCCCUGUGCUCAGGUCUAGCUGUAGAUCCGAGAGUGUCGCUGUUCAGCUAGAGCAUAUCGCUGGCUGGGUGGACAGGCCUAAGAGCCGCUGUGCCUUCUGUGUGCUGAGGAGUGGAUCACUAGAUGGCUUUGUCCCUGUGGGCCGAGACAGUGUGCUCCACAGAUGCAGAUGCUCUAGUCCUCCACGGCAGUGUCUCCCGACGUUCUCAAGGCGUGGAACCGCUGCUGCACGACGAGGUAGCAGCUGACGUCUGUAAGCAGAGGCAAUAUGCUGUAAGAGAACCAUAGCGGUUACACCACAGUGAAGACAAGCCAGCAAAUCUCAUUUUACCAUUGCCUUAGUACAUGGUGCGUAACUGUAAGUGCUGUGCUAUGCUACUGGCCAAACAGAGUUAUUUUUUCAGCAUCUCCUCAAACCCAGGACUAAUACCCUGCAUUGUGGCAAUGUUGCCAUAGCUACUGCAUCUUUAGGGGAGGGGAGGAUGUCUGCUCUAUUGCGAUAUUACGCAUCAUAUACCUUUGUGCCUGUGGUCCUUUGUAGGUUAAAACGUGACGAUGUGCCAAGGUGAAUUUAACUAGUUUAGUGAGUAGUUAACCUACCUCUACAAACAUCUUUAUAUAGCAUUACCCACCACUGACCUAGCAGUGU